rnacentral:rRNA from 1 species
UGUCCUUAUUUGCCAGCACGUAAUGGUGGGAACUCUAAGGAGACUGCCGGUGACAAACCGGAGGAAGGUGGGGACGACGUCAAGUCAUCAUGGCCCUUAUGACCAGGGCUACACACGUGCUACAAUGGGGCGUACAGAGGGUUGCUAAGCCGCGAGGUGGAGCCAAUCCCAGAAAACGUUUCGUAGUCCGGAUCGAAGUCUGCAACUCGACUUCGUGAAGUCGGAAUCGCUAGUAAUCGCGAAUCAGCAUGUCGCGGUGAAUACGUUC